rnacentral:rRNA from 1 species
UACAGAGGUCUCAAGCGUUGUUCGGAUUCAUUGGGCUUAAAGGGUUCGUAGGCGGCGCGGUAAGUCGGGUGUGAAAUCUCGGGGCUUAACUCCGAAACUGCAUUCGAUACUGCCGUGCUUGAGGACUGGAGAGGAGACUGGAAUUGACGGUGUAGCGGUGAAAUGCGCAGAUAUCGGGAGGAACACCUAUGGCGAAGGCAGCUCGCUGGGACGUUACUGACGCUGAGACGCGAAAGCGUGGGGAGCAAACAGG